AAUGAACGCUGGCGGCAGGCUUAACACAUGCAAGUCGAACGAGAAGCACCUUCGGGUGUUAUUAGAGUGGCAAACGGGUGAGUAACACGUGGGAAUGUACCUUGAGGUUCGGGAUAACAGUUGGAAACGACUGCUAAUACCGGAUAUCCUCUACGGAGGAAAGAUUUAUCGCCUUGAGAUCAGCCCGCGGUGGAUUAGCUAGUUGGUGGGGUAAUGGCCUACCAAGGCAACGAUCUAUAGCAGGUUUGAGAGGAUGAUCUGUCACACUGGGACUGAGAUACGGCCCAG
rnacentral:rRNA from 1 species